rnacentral:tRNA from 1 species
GUGGGUGUAGCUCAGGAAUAGAGCGCAUGCUUAGCAUGCAUGAGGUCCUGGGUUCAGUCCUCAGAACCUCCA